CCUACGGGAGGCAGCAGUGGGGAAUUUUGGACAAUGGGCGAAAGCCUGAUCCAGCAAUGCCGCGUGAGUGAAGAAGGCCUUCGGGUUGUAAAGCUCUUUUGUCAGGGAAGAAACGGUGUGGGCUAAUAUCCUGCACUAAUGACGGUACCUGAAGAAUAAGCACCGGCUAACUACGUGCCAGCAGCCGCGGUAAUACGUAGGGUGCAAGCGUUAAUCGGAAUUACUGGGCGUAAAGCGUGCGCAGGCGGUUUUGUAAGUCUGUCGUGAAAUCCCCGGGCUCAACCUGGGAAUUGCGAUGGAGACUGCAAGGCUAGAAUCUGGCAGAGGGGGGUAGAAUUCCACGUGUAGCAGUGAAAUGCGUAGAGAUGUGGAGGAACACCGAUGGCGAAGGCAGCCCCCUGGGUCAAGAUUGACGCUCAUGCACGAAAGCGUGGGGAGCAAACAGGAUUAGAUACCCUGGUAGUCCACGCCCUAAACGAUGUCUACUAGUUGUCGGGUUUUAAUUAACUUGGUAACGCAGCUAACGCGUGAAGUAGACCGUCUGGGGGAGGUAGGUCGUCGAGAAUUAAACUUAACUAAAGAAAGUUAGUAGGCGNGAGAGNGCGACGGACGACACGAGGGAGGAGG
rnacentral:rRNA from 1 species